rnacentral:RNase_P_RNA from 1 species
GAGGCAGGGCAGGCUACCGCUGCCGGAAUUUACCGGUAGAGGAAAGUCCGGGCUCCGUAGAGCAUGAUGCCGGGUAACUCCCGGGCACUGACAGACCGAUUGGCCUGCCGGUGACAGAUAGUGCCACAGAAAAUAUACCGCCCGCACAAAUUCAUGCGGGUAAGGGUGAAAAGGCGGGGUAAGAGCCCACCGCCCGCUUUUAAGGUAACUUUAGCGGGGCACGGUAAACCUCAUCAGGAGCAAAGCCAAGCAGCAAGGGGGCUGCUCGCCCAAGGCCUUGCGGGUAGGCUGCAUGAGCGAAUAGGAAACUGUUGCGCCCAGAUAGAUGGUAGCUCAAUGACAGAACCCGGCUUAUCGCCCUGCCUCUUUU